GUGGGAAUCUGCCCCUUGGUUCGGAAUAACAGUUGGAAACGACUGCUAAUACCGGAUGAUGACGUAAGUCCAAAGAUUUAUCGCCGAGGGAUGAGCCCGCGUAGGAUUAGGUAGUUGGUGUGGUAAAGGCGCACCAAGCCGACGAUCCUUAGCUGGUCUGAGAGGAUGAUCAGCCACACUGGGACUGAGACACGGCCCAGACUCCUACGGGAGGCAGCAGUGGGGAAUAUUGGACAAUGGGCGAAAGCCUGAUCCAGCAAUGCCGCGUGAGUGAUGAAGGCCUUAGGGUUGUAAAGCUCUUUUACCCGGGAUGAUAAUGACAGUACCGGGAGAAUAAG
rnacentral:rRNA from 1 species